rnacentral:lncRNA from 1 species
GCCAGAGAAAGUAGUUGAUUCCAUAUAAAGUUGUGUAUAAUCAAAGUGUUACCGUAGUGAGAACUCAAACAAUUUAGUUAAAAAAACCGAAGUGGCUUCUAUGCUACUCUCAACUAGCUGCCACGGUGGAGGACCCGCGCGGUUCAGAUAAUUCUAUUUCUCUAUCCGAAUACUCGACAUCACGAUCCGAAAAUGAUAGCCGCAAGGAAAAGAAGCAGUUAAGAGCAGUAUUCUUAAUCCGUAAUGGUGAAGUUUACAAAUUUUUUAUCAACGAGUCUGCCGCAAACGAAACACUGAGCCCUGCGCGUCCGACAUUGUCGGUGACUGCACCGCCCGACGAACCCGCGGCAGGAGCAGUAGACAACCGACCUCAUGAUGCUAUUCCUGAAAAGUCCGAACGCCGAGUUCAACUGCGGCCACCAAUGUCUUUCUGUUCCGGAUCAACGUCUCUUUCCGGCUCCGAAGAUACCACUUCGUUGCCCCUCGUGGCUAGCAGACCUUUUGCUGUUCUCCUUCGGCUGAGGGUGACUCAGAUAGUAGCCGGUAUUGUGACUGUACUAUUUGGUACCGUGGCUUGCUUGGAUCCAACCACUAGGCCUACUCUGGGGUUCGGCAUUCCUGCUGGGGCCCUUACAGUUCUGGCUGCAGCUCUUCACAUGCAGGCUUCCCGCCGACAGUUUCAUGCCGCUCUUGCUGGCAGUUCAACGCUAUUUUUCGGAUCAAGUGGCUCACGUCAAGCGCCACUUCUGCAGGUCCUUCGACCCUUAUUGCCGACUCUAGCUUGCGUGUUAGCGUCACUCCUGUUGCUAGCACUAGCUUGCAUGGCCUUAGGUGGGAACGACAAAAAUCUUAUAGCUUUGGGUAUUCUCCACUCUAUCAGUGCUCUUGUAGUACUCUGCACAGAGGCACUAGUAUUGGCACUACGCUGGCACUGGACCGUUAAAUCUCAUUAUUAAUUGCAUUUCCCAAUAUGAUAUCAAAGCAUUAAAUGUUUCACACGAAGACUUCCGACUCAAAAGUCAGUAUAGGAGAAGUUUGUGAGAGUAUUAUAAGACUGGGACGGUUUGAAAAUAAUAACAAUUUGAUGUGGUUACCAUUAAAUUAUGAACCAACCAACAUUUUACUCUAAUGACAAAUUUAUUAAAUAUUGAAGGGAAUUAAGAAUAGAAAGAUUCGAAAUAAGAAAACAAAUGUAUUAAUUACAUAUAGCGAAAUGUGUAACGAGAAGAUGUAUUCCAUUUAUGGAUACUCAUUCAGAUGAAAAAAAUCACUAGUAUUUUUUUCCAGAAGAUUUAUCGGAAGAUUUUAUGUGUCAGAAAGAAAUGCGGCUAAAAAUUUCCAACACGACAAUGUAUAAUAAGGAAUGGCCAUCACGAUAGUAACAGAAUGUGUAUCGGAAAACAUCUUUCUUCAAAAACAGCAGUGCAUACUAGCGAAUCAGAUAAGUCAAAACAUUACUUAGAAAAGUUAACUAAUGAGAUAGAAAUAGUAUACUAUAAAUGUUGUGAAUGUUCAGUUACGAUCAGAUUGGUGACUUAUAAACAAGAAGAGUGGUUGAAGACGUUUUUAUAAUGUUCACAACAAGUGGUGAUCAUUAGGACAGAAUUACGGUUUAUUAUUAACUGAUCACAUUUAACCCAGUAAAUAAGAGACGACAACUAAUUUAGAACGUUCAGUGGUAUCUGACAUUCGAUCUGAAGCUUCAUGUAAGACGAUUAAAAGAAAAAUCUGAUCUUAAAGAAAUAAGCUUUUAAAUGCUAACAUGUGCUUCAGAACUCUUAGAGUAAAACUUUAUAUAAAACAGAAAUGAUCCAGUUAGAAAAGAGAACGAAUAAGUUAGGUUUGGGAAAUAGCUUUACUUAGGACGUUUCUGAUAUGAACCAGAAGUGAUCAAAAUGAGAGAACGAAUAAACGUUAGGUUUGGGAAAUAGCUUUACUUAGGACGUUUCUGAUAUGAACCAGAAGUGAUCAAAUUAAGAAAACAGAUAACAACAAUGAUUUCAUGGGAACGACCUUUACUUAAAAAGUUUGAUAGCGGACGUGAAGAGAUAUUUCGAACUGAUGAUAUGGGUAUAAACUGCUGUAUUCUAGAGUCUGCUAAGCAAUUACCACAUUUAUGUGUGUUUUUGAGUGAAGAAAUGUUUUAUUGUUGUUUACAAUUAUCCGUUUCAGGUAUUUGUAACGUUACAAUGUGUUGUUUUGACCUUAUGUAAAGAACAGUCUUACGUCAUCAAUAAUAUAACUGAUAGAUUUCUAUUGAAUGUUGCCGUUUCUAUAGUCUAUGUUUUUUUUAACAAUAGUAACUAUUUACUACAUGUUAAGAGAGCGUACAACCGUGCUGAUCAGAUUGCCUCGAUUUCGGCUUUGUUAAAUAUUUAGUCGUGAUUGGUUUUUCGUUUGAACAAGUUUUUCUUUAUUAGUUUGUUAAAGAGAUCAAACUUCAUCUCUGGGGUAAACACUUAGUUCUAAUAUGUAAAGAUCUUUAGAACAUAAACUAAAUAGUUAAUCAGAUAUGUUAGACUGCCAAACAGGUUUAAAUUACUAAUUGUUUUUGUUAUAGUACUAUUAAAUAAAGUCCAAAGUAUCAAUAGUAUAUUUGUUUUAUAUGUAAAAAAAAUAAAUACAGUUGUUUAUUUGAUGUCAUACAAUUAGAAAAUAAUGUUCGCAUUUACACGAUAUUAAUUUUUACGGAAACUGGAUACAAGUUGUGAAUUAAAUACGUUCUGACACUAAGAAAGACUUUUAAAUAGAAAAGGUGAGGUACUAUUAUAGUGAACCAUCACAAGAACUUUUAAAUUGAAAGGGUGAGGUACUAUUAUAGUGAACCAUCACAAGAACUUUUAAAUAGAAAAGGUGAGGUACUAUUAUAGUGAACCAUCACAAGAAAUUUUAAAUUGAAAGGGUGAGGUACUAUUAUAGUGAACCAUUACAAGAACUUUUAAAUAGAAAGGGUGAGGUACUAUUAUAGUGAACCAUCACAAGAACUUUUAAAUAGAAAGGGCGAGGUACUAUUAUAGUGAACCAUCACAAGAACUUUUAAAUAGAAAAGGUGAGGUACUAUUAUAGUGAACCAUCACAAGAAUAAACUAAUUCCGACAAUAUUAUUUCAGAUCGUGAGACCAGUUCAAAUAGAAACUGCUAAUUGUAAAACAGUAAAUAUUUAAAGAAUGCUGGAGUAUUUCAAGGCUUGUAGGUCGUUAUUUUAAUCCAUAUUUGGAUUUAGUCUUGUUUUAACUUUUUACAUACUUGUCUUUCUGGCAGCUAUUUUUAUCAUCGUUUUCUAUCGAUGUAGUCGUACUUGGAUUAGAGGAUUAGAUUUUAGCCUAAAUAGGCCAUAAAUAGCUCACGAAAAUGCAUAUCUCAAAUAUAACAUUUGGCUAAGGUUGACACAGCGUCAGAAGGUGAUCUUGAACUGAUUUUUUCUUCGGCUAAAAUAGGUCAGCUAAAACUGUUCUGAAUGCUCAUCUAAUAAAAAUUACUUUUAUUUUUUAUCUGCUUUUGUAAACCAAUUAUUCAUAUUAAGAAUUUAUAAGGCAUUAUAAAAAUGUUUAGAAAGUACAAUCUUUAUGUCGAUUUCAACUUAGGUUGUUUCUGAAAAAAUCAAUCAUAUAGACCGUACUCAGAAAGGGAUAUUUAAUGUUUGAAACAAAGUUGUCGUUUACUGGAUAUAAAUAUCAAAUAUGUAUGUAUUUUAUAUGCGUGUGUUUGAUAUUGUGUUUUAGGGAUCUCUGUAGACUAUGUUUCAUUGCCAUUUAUUGUUGCGAGUGCUCUGUUUUCAUGUCUGCAUGUAGCUCAAAUCCUGGUGUUGUUCAGUAACAUCUGUGAUAUUCUGUUUUCUAAAAAUACGUUAAGAGGAAGUGGUUCAUAAUUUCUUAAUACAGUCCUUACUUCAUGAUUGGACCUUUGUUUAAAUCCAGUUGUGUUUUACAAAAUGAAGUGAAAAACUGUAACUCGUAAAAAAGCUGCUAUAACAAUGAUAUGGUUGAAUAAAGUAACUUGUAAAGC